rnacentral:rRNA from 1 species
GACGAAAGUCUGACGGAGCAACGCCGCGUGAGUGAAGAAGGUUUUCGGAUCGUAAAGCUCUGUCUUCAGGGACGAAUGUGCUUAAUGUGAAUAAUGUUAAGUAAUGACGGUACCUGAGGAGGAAGCCACGGCUAACUACGUGCCAGCAGCCGCGGUAAUACGUAGGUGGCAAGCGUUGUCCGGAAUUAUUGGGCGUAAAGCGCGCGCAGGCGGGAAUGUAAGUCUGUCUUAAAAGUUCGGGGCUCAACCCCGUGAUGGGAUGGAAACUACAUUUCUUGAGUGCAGGAGAGGAAAGUGGAAUUCCUAGUGUAGCGGUGAAAUGCGUAGAUAUUAGGAGGAACACCAGUGGCGAAGGCGACUUUCUGGACUGUGUCUGACGCUGAGGCGCGAAAGCCAGGGGAGUGAACGGGAUUAGAUACCCCGGUAAUCCUGGCCGUAAACGAUGGGUACUAGGUGUAGGAGGUAUCGACCCCUUCUGUGCCGGAGUUAACGCAAUAAGUACCCCGCCUGGGGAGUA